UUGAUAACCUUUUUUUGAUGCACUGC
rnacentral:piRNA from 1 species